AACGAUGAUCCGGUGCUUGCACCGGGGAUUAGUGGCGAACGGGUGAGUAACACGUGAGUAACCUGCCCUUGACUCUGGGAUAAGCCUGGGAAACUGGGUCUAAUACCGGAUAUGACUCCUCAUCGCAUGGUGGGGGGUGGAAAGCUUUUGUGGUUUUGGAUGGACUCGCGGCCUAUCAGCUUGUUGGUGAGGUAAUGGCUCACCAAGGCGACGACGGGUAGCCGGCCUGAGAGGGUGACCGGCCACACUGGGACUGAGACACGGCCCAGACUCCUACGGGAGGCAGCAGUGGGGAAUAUUGCACAAUGGGCGAAAGCCUGAUGCAGCGACGCCGCGUGAGGGAUGACGGCCUUCGGGUUGUAAACCUCUUUCAGUAGGGAAGAAGCGAAAGUGACGGUACCUGCAGAAGAAGCGCCGGCUAACUACGUGCCAGCAGCCGCGGUAAUACGUAGGGCGCAAGCGUUAUCCGGAAUUAUUGGGCGUAAAGAGCUCGUAGGCGGUUUGUCGCGUCUGCCGUGAAAGUCCGGGGCUCAACUCCGGAUCUGCGGUGGGUACGGGCAGACUAGAGUGAUGUAGGGGAGACUGGAAUUCCUGGUGUAGCGGUGAAAUGCGCAGAUAUCAGGAGGAACACCGAUGGCGAAGGCAGGUCUCUGGGCAUUAACUGACGCUGAGGAGCGAAAGCAUGGGGAGCGAACAGGAUUAGAUACCCUGGUAGUCCAUGCCGUAAACGUUGGGCACUAGGG
rnacentral:rRNA from 1 species